ACAACCACCGUAGUCCGGACACAGAAGCUUUCACCAAUAGAAAGUCCCUCCAUUUUUCUUUCUUCCCAUCUUUUGAUUUUAAUGGGUUCUUUUUAGCAAUGGAUAUAUCUGCAGAGGGACUAAGAUAGCUUACAACUAGAAGAAUCGUUAACUGAUACCAUUUUUGUAUGGUGCAAUCAAGAUAAUUGAGAGAAGCAGAGAUGAUUGAGCGUCAGUUUUGCUGUAAAUGGUGUUCAAGAUUGGUGAAAUAGUCUUGGACUCAUGAAAGUUGCCGCAUCACUUGCCAAAACUUCACUUGUCUUAUCAGCAUACAAUGGCUUUGCUGGUCCUGAUACUGGAGGAUAUGGAUUUUGCCAUUCCUACUACUCUUCCAAGAUUGUUGCCAAGAAAAGUAAGAAGCCUCAAGCUCCUUCACCUAAGGGCUCUGAGAUGCCACCUCCAAGAAUCACAACAAACUUGAAGCAGAAUUUACAGUUCUUAAGACUAUGGAAGGAGUUCCAAAAGAGAAAAUCAAACACACCUAAGCCUGCAACUAGUUACCGCAGAAAGAGGGCAGAGAAAGAGGAGAUUUUAGAAGAAGAAACAGAACUUUAUCGUGAUCCUACUUUGAGCCUUUACUACACAAACCAAGGCAUAGAAACAGCAGUUCCUGUUUUGCUUGUGGAUGGCUAUAAUGUCUGUGGAUAUUGGCCAAAAUUGAAGAAGCAUUUCACAACUGGCAGAUUAGACAUUGCUCGGCAAAAGCUUGUUGAUGAACUGAUUACAUUUAGCACGCUAAGAGAGGUGAAAGUGGUGGUUGUAUUUGAUGCCAUGAUGUCAGGGCUGCCAACACAUAAAGAGAGUUUUGCUGGCAUUGACAUGGUGUAUUCGAGUGAAACCUGUGCUGAUGCUUGGAUUGAGAAAGAGGUACAUCUUAUCUUGCCACUUGAGUCAGGUUGUAGCUUUGAGAGAGGAUGGCUGUCCAAAAGUUUGGGUUGUCACAUCAGAUCGUUCUCAGCAGCAUGCUGCAUAUGGAGCAGGAGCUUUUGUAUGGAGUAGCAAGGCUUUGGUGUCUGAGAUAAAAGCUUCGCAAAAAGAGAUGGAGAUGAUGCUCCGUGAACAUAGAUCGACUUCCAUGCAAGGUAAAUUGCUGAAGCACAAUCUUGAUGCAGAGGUAGUGGAUGCCCUCAAGGAUCUCAGAGACAAGUUAUCUGAAAAUGAGUCCCGAAGAUGACUUGUCCCCGUAAAAUGAUGUCCUUCACCUUGGCUAAAUUGCCAACAAAAUUAAAGCAUAUGCUGUCCAGUUAUCUGCCUGAAAAUAUAUUUCUCAGUAUUUCAGCACAGCCAUGUACAGCUUUUUGCCUGUGUUAUGUUAUCCUACCUCAGUCCCCUUCGCAACUCAGCUUAAAGCUGACAGCUUGCUUGUUCAACUUCUGUCUGUGCAAACUAUAUACUUUGUGGAUGACUACUCGAAAUGCGUAAAAUUUCACAAUUUGUUGCUCACAA